CGCCCCUCACAGCGCCCCGCCAUCGCCCUCGCACCGAGAGCCCACUGUCCUUCCCCUCACAGCGCCCCGCCAUCGCCCUCGCCCCCAGCGCCCACCGUCCUUCCCCUCACAGCGCCCCGCCAUCACCCUCGCACCCAGCGCCCACCGUCCUUCCCCUCACAGCGCCCCGCCAUCGCCCUCGCACCCAGCGCCCACCGUCCUUCCCCUCACAGCGCCCCGCCAUCGCCCUCGCACCCAGCGCCCACCGUCCGCCUCCCUCACAGCGCUCCGCCAUUGCCCUCAGAACCCACACCAUCUCCCCGCAUCUCCCACCCCUGGGAGAAAGUCAGGAAAUCAAUUGCAUUCGGGCUAUCUUGUAACUGUCAUGAAGAAAAAAAAAAUUAAGGCGCAACCACAGAGGUAGUACAUUUCUUAGACCAGUCCUUGAAAAUCUAUCGGGUUUCAGACAGGUAGGUUGAGUCUUCUUAGGGUUGAAAUGAGGUCUUACAUGGUCAAAAGUCUGAUCAAACUUUAAAUCUUUAUUACUGUAAUAAAAACUACAGCCCCUUUCACAAAUGUUGUAUGCUGAGACUGUUCCUCUAGAGGAAACUGCAACUCCCAUCCACACAGCACAGAGAAGCAGAUGCCGGUUAUUUCAGAAAAGCAGCAUGGGUGGCCACACUUGCUAAUUGAAAGAGUCCACUCAGACCUGAUGGAGCAGGCUGUGUCAAAGGAAGAAAAAUAGGACCUGGCCAUGUAAAAAGAAUGCCUGUUGCCGAAACAAGUAGAGCAGAAGUCCUCAUCCUUCUCUUUUUGCCUCUCUAUGGUUGUUUUCUCUUCAGCAGAAAUAAAGAUCCCUUUAAAUCAA